rnacentral:rRNA from 1 species
GUGGGGAAUAUUGGACAAUGGGCGAAAGCCUGAUCCAGCCAUGCCGCGUGUGUGAAGAAGGUCUUCGGAUUGUAAAGCACUUUAAGUUGGGGGGAAGGGCAGUAAGUUAAUACCUUGCUGUUUUGACGUUACCGACAGAAUAAGCACCGGCUAACUUCGUGCCAGCAGCCGCGGUAAUACGAAGGGUGCAAGCGUUAAUCGGAAUUACUGGGCGUAAAGCACGCGUAGGCGGUUUGGUUAGUGGGAUGUGAAAGCCCCGGGCUCAACCUGGGAACUGCAUCCAAUACUGCCAGGCUAGAGUACGGUAGAGGGGGGUAGAAUUCCACGUGUAGCGGUGAAAUGCGUAGAGAUGUGGAGGAAUACCAGUGGCGAAGGCGGCCCCCUGGAUCGAUACUGACGCUGAGGUGCGAAAGCGUGGGGAGCAAACAGGAUUAGAUACCCGUGUAGUCC